rnacentral:lncRNA from 1 species
CCACUUCCACAUCCAACUCCACCACUUGCACCACCACAUUCACUACCACUACCACCACAACCACCUCCUCCACCUCCAAAACCUCCACAUCCACUACCACCUCCACAACCACCACCAUGCUGCCACUACCACCACCACCACCACCACUACCACAACCACCGACUCCACCUUCAUCACAACCACUACCUCUACUCCAUCACUACCACU